AUUGAACGCUGGCGGCAGGCCUAACACAUGCAAGUCGAGCGGAUGAAGGGAGCUUGCUCCUGGAUUCAGCGGCGGACGGGUGAGUAAUGCCUAGGAAUCUGCCUGGUAGUGGGGGAUAACGUCCGGAAACGGGCGCUAAUACCGCAUACGUCCUUAGGGAGAAAGUUGGGGAUCUUCGGACCUCACGCUAUCAGAUGAGCCUAGGUCGGAUUAGCUAGUUGGUGGGGUAAAGGCCUACCAAGGCGACGAUCCGUAACUGGUCUGAGAGGAUGAUCAGUCACACUGGAACUGAGACACGGUCCAGACCCCUACGGGAGGCAGCAGUGGGGAAUAUUGGACAAAGGGCGAAAGCCUGAUCCAGCCAUGCCGCGUGUGUGAAGAAGGUCUUCGGAUUGUAAAGCACUUUAAGUUGGGAGGAAGGGCAGUAAGUUAAUACCUUGCUGUUUUGACGUUAACAACAGAAUAAGCACCGGCUAACUUCGUG
rnacentral:rRNA from 1 species